ACACUCGAACUCAUAUGGGACUACCCCCUGAAUUUAAGCAUAUUAAUUAGGGGAGGAAAAGAAACUAACAAGGAUUUUCUUAGUAGCGGCGAGCGAAAAGAAAACAGUUCAGCACUAAGUCACUUUGUCUAUAUGGCAAAUGUGAGAUGCAGUGUAUGGAGCGUCAAUAUUCUAGUAUGAGAAAUUAAUGAUUUAAGUCCUUCUUAAAUGAGGCCAUUUACCCAUAGAGGGUGCCAGGCCCGUAUAACGUUAAUGAUUGCUAGAUGAUGUUUCCAAAGAGUCGUGUUGCUUGAUAGUGCAGCACUAAGUGGGUGGUAAACUCCAUCUAAAACUAAAUAUAACCAUGAGACCGAUAGUAAACAAGUACCGUGAGGGAAAGUUGAAAAGAACUCUGAAUAGAGAGUUAAACAGUACGUGAAACUGCUUAGAGGUUAAGCCCGAUGAACCUGAAUAUCCGUUAUGGAAAAUUCAUCAUUAAAAUUGUAAUAUUUAAAUAAUAUUAUUAAGAAUAAUGUGCAUUUUUUCCAUAUAAGGACAUUGUAAUCUAUUAGCAUAUCCCAAAUUUAUCAUAAAAUAUAACUUAUAGUUUAUUCCAAUUAAAUUGCUUGCAUUUUAACACAGAAUAAAUGUUAUUAAUUUGAUAAAGUGCUGAUAGAUUUAUAUUAUUACAGAGCGUUAAUUUUUCGGAAUUAUAUAAUGGCAUAAUUAUCAUUGAUUUUGGUGUUUAUUAUAUGCUCUGGUAUGAUUAACAAUGCGAAAGAUUCAGGAUACCUUCGGGACCCGUCUUGAAACACGGACCAAGGAGUCUAACAUAUGUGCAAGUUAUUGGGAUGUAAACCUAAUAGCGUAAUUAACUUGACUAAAUAAUGGGAUUAGUUUUUUAGCUAUUUAUAGCUAAUUAACACAAUCCCGGGGCGUUCUAUAUAGUUAUGUAUAAUGUAUAUUUAUAUUAUUUAUGCCUCUAACUGGAACGUACCUUGAGCAUAUAUGCUGUGACCCGAAAGAUGGUGAACUAUACUUGAUCAGGUUGAAGUCAGGGGAAACCCUGAUGGAAGACCGAAACAGUUCUGACGUGCAAAUCGAUUGUCAGAAUUGAGUAUAGGGGCGAAAGACCAAUCGAACCAUCUAGUAGCUGGUUCCUUCCGAAGUUUCCCUCAGGAUAGCUGGUGCAUUUUAAUAUUAUAUAAAAUAAUCUUAUCUGGUAAAGCGAAUGAUUAGAGGCCUUAGGGUCGAAACGAUCUUAACCUAUUCUCAAACUUUAAAUGGGUAAGAACCUUAACUUUCUUGAUAUGAAGUUCAAGGUUAUGAUAUAAUGUGCCCAGUGGGCCACUUUUGGUAAGCAGAACUGGCGCUGUGGGAUGAACCAAACGUAAUGUUACGGUGCCCAAAUUAACAACUCAUGCAGAUACCAUGAAAGGCGUUGGUUGCUUAAAACAGCAGGACGGUGAUCAUGGAAGUCGAAAUCCGCUAAGGAGUGUGUAACAACUCACCUGCCGAAGCAACUAGCCCUUAAAAUGGAUGGCGCUUAAGUUGUAUACCUAUACAUUACCGCUAAAGUGGAUGAUUUAUAUUACUUGUGAUAUAAAUUUUGAAACUUUAGUGAGUAGGAAGGUACAAUGGUAUGCGUAGAAGUGUUUGGCGUAAGCCUGCAUGGAGCUGCCAUUGGUACAGAUCUUGGUGGUAGUAGCAAAUAAUCGAAUGAGACCUUGGAGGACUGAAGUGGAGAAGGGUUUCGUGUGAACAGUGGUUGAUCACGAGUUAGUCGGUCCUAAGUUCAAGGCGAAAGCCGAAAAUUUUCAAGUAAAACAAAAAUGCCUAACUAUAUAAACAAAGCGAAUAUAAUACACUUGAAUAAUUUUGAACGAAAGGGAAUACGGUUCCAAUUCCGUAACCUGUUGAGUAUCCGUUUGUUAUUAAAUAUGGGCCUCGUGCUCAUCCUGGCAACAGGAACGACCAUAAAGAAGCCGUCGAGAGAUAUCGGAAGAGUUUUCUUUUCUGUUUUAUAGCCGUACUACCAUGGAAGUCUUUCGCAGAGAGAUAUGGUAGAUGGGCUAGAAGAGCAUGACAUAUACUGUUGUGUCGAUAUUUCUCCUCGACCUUGAAAAUUUAUGGUGGGGACACGCCAACUUCUCACAGGCCGUACCAAUAUCCGCAGCUGGUCUCCAAGGUGAAGAGUCUCUAGUCGAUAGAAUUAAUGUAGGUAAGGGAAGUCGGCAAAUUAGAUCCGUAACUUCGGGAUAAGGAUUGGCUCUGAAGAUUGAGAUAGUCGGGCUUGAUUGGGAAACAAUAACAUGGUUUAUGUGCUCGUUCUGGGUAAAUAGAGUUUCUAGCAUUUAUGUUAGUUACUUGUUCCCCGGAUAGUUUAGUUACGUAGCCAAUUGUGGAACUUUCUUGCUAAAAUUUUUAAGAAUACUAUUUGGGUUAAACCAAUUAGUUCUUAUCAAUUAUAACGAUUAUCAAUUAACAAUCAAUUCAGAACUGGCACGGACUUGGGGAAUCCGACUGUCUAAUUAAAACAAAGCAUUGUGAUGGCCCUAGCGGGUGUUGACACAAUGUGAUUUCUGCCCAGUGCUCUGAAUGUCAAAGUGAAGAAAUUCAAGUAAGCGCGGGUCAACGGCGGGAGUAACUAUGACUCUCUUAAGGUAGCCAAAUGCCUCGUCAUCUAAUUAGUGACGCGCAUGAAUGGAUUAACGACGGACGUGUUUUCGUUGCGCUCGUGUACAGAUUGCGAAGAACUUGGUUUUCCGU
rnacentral:ncRNA from 1 species